rnacentral:rRNA from 1 species
UACGUAGGGAGCAAGCGUUGUCCGGAAUCAUUGGGCGUAAAGCGCGCGUAGGCGGCCCUGUAAGUCCGUUGUGAAAGUCAAAGGCUCAACCUUUGAAAGCCGAUGGAUACUGCAGGGCUAGAGUCCGGAAGAGGCGAGUGGAAUUCCUGGUGUAGCGGUGGAAUGCGCAGAUAUCAGGAGGAACACCAAUAGCGAAGGCAGCUCGCUGGGACGGUACUGACGCUAAGGCGCGAAAGCGUGGGGAGUGAACAGG